AUAUCAAUAAGCGGAGGAAAAGAAACUAACAAGGAUUCCCUUAGUAACGGCGAGUGAACCGGGAAGAGCUCAAAUUUGAAAUCUGGCAGUCUUCGAUUGUCCGAGUUGUAAUCUAUAGAAGCGUUUUCCGUGCUGAACUGUGUAUAAGUCCCUUGGAACAGGGUAUCAAAGAGGGUGACAAUCCCGUACUUUACACAAUCAUCAGUGCUCUGUGAUACGUUCUCUACGAGUCGAGUUGUUUGGGAAUGCAGCUCAAAAUGGGUGGUAAAUUCCAUCUAAAGCUAAAUAUUGGCGAGAGACCGAUAGCGAACAAGUACCGUGAGGGAAAGAUGAAAAGCACUUUGGAAAGAGAGUUAAACAGUACGUGAAAUUGUUGAAAGGGAAACGAUUGAAGUCAGUCGUGUUCAUUGGACUCAGCCGGUUUUCGGUGUAUUUCCUUUGAACGGGUCAACAUCAGUUUUGUCCGGUGGAUAAAGGUAGUAGGAAGGUGGCUCCCCCGGGAGUGUUAUAGCCUAUUGCCACAUACACUGGAGGAGACUGAGGACUGCAGCUUGCCUUUAUGGCCGGGGUUCGCCCACGUUCAAGCUUAGGAUGUUGACA
rnacentral:rRNA from 1 species